rnacentral:rRNA from 1 species
AACGUAGGUCCCGAGCGUUAUCCGGAUUUACUGGGCGUAAAGCGUGCGCAGGCGGCUUUGCAAGACAGAUGUGAAAUCCCCGGGCUUAACCUGGGAACUGCAUUUGUGACUGCAUGGCUGGAGUGCGGCAGAGGGGGAUGGAAUUCCGCGUGUAGCAGUGAAAUGCGUAGAUAUGCGGAGGAACACCGAUGGCGAAGGCAAUCCCCUGGGCCUGCACUGACGCUCAUGCACGAAAGCGUGGGGAGCAAACAGG